rnacentral:rRNA from 1 species
GAUGAACGCUGGCGGCGUGCCUAAUACAUGCAAGUCGAGCGAACAGACGAGGAGCUUGCUCCUCUGACGUUAGCGGCGGACGGGUGAGUAGCACGUGGAUAACCUACCUAUAAGACUGGGAUAACUUCGGGAAACCGGAGCUAAUACCGGAUAAUAUAUUGAACCGCAUGGUUCAAUAGUGAAAGACGGUUUUGCUGUCACUUAUAGAUGGAUCCGCGCCGCAUUAGCUAGUUGGUAAGGUAACGGCUUACCAAGGCAACGAUGCGUAGCCGACCUGAGAGGGUGAUCGGCCACACUGGAACUGAGACACGGUCCAGACUCCUACGGGAGGCAGCAGUAGGGAAUCUUCCGCAAUGGGCGAAAGCUUGACGGAGCAACGCCGCGUGAGUGAUGAAGGUCUUCGGAUCGUAAAACUCUGUUAUUAGGGAAGAACAAAUGUGUAGGUAACUAUGCACGUCUUGACGGUACCUAAUCAGAAAGCCACGGCUAACUACGUG